AAAAUGACUCUCGGCAACGGAUAUCUCGGCUCUCGCAUCGAUGAAGAACGUAGCGAAAUGCGAUACUUGGUGUGAAUUGCAGAAUCCCGUGAACCAUCGAGUUUUUGAACGCAAGUUGCGCCCCAAGCCUUUAGGCCGAGGGCACGCCUGCCUGGGUGUCACAC
rnacentral:rRNA from 32 species